AACGAACGCUGGCGGCAUGCCUAACACAUGCAAGUCGAACGAGAUCUUCGGGUCUAGUGGCGCACGGGUGCGUAACGCGUGGGACUCUGCCCUUUGGUUCGGAAUAACAGUUGGAAACGACUGCUAAUACCGGAUGAUGACGAAAGUCCAAAGAUUUAUCGCCAGAGGAUGAGCCCGCGUAGGAUUAGCUAGUUGGUGUGGUAAAGGCGCACCAAGGCGACGAUCCUUAGCUGGUCUGAGAGGAUGAUCAGCCACACUGGGACUGAGACACGGCCCAGACUCCUACGGGAGGCAGCAGUGGGGAAUAUUGGACAAUGGGCGAAAGCCUGAUCCAGCAAUGCCGCGUGAGUGAUGAAGGCCUUAGGGUUGUAAAGCUCUUUUACCCGGGAUGAUAAUGACAGUACCGGGAGAAUAAGCUCCGGCUAACUCCGUGCCAGCCGCCGCGGUAACAC
rnacentral:rRNA from 1 species